UACGUAGGUGGCAAGCGUUGUCCGGAAUUAUUGGGCGUAAAGCGCACGUAGGCGGCCUGACAAGUCGGAUGUGAAAGCCCUGGGCUCAACCCAGGAAGUGCACUCGAAACUGCCAGGCUUGAAUAUGGAAGAGGGUCGCGGAAUUCCCGGUGUAGAGGUGAAAUUCGUUAGAUAUCGGGAGGAACACCAGUAGCGAAGGCGGCUCGCUGGGCCACACCUGACGCUGAGACGCGAAAGCUAGGGGAGCGAAACAGG
rnacentral:rRNA from 1 species